UGAUAACAAAUAAUUUCUUCUUUUAUCUCUUUAUAGGUCAGCUCUUGAUGUAUUUAUUUCUAAAUAAUGAAUUGCAAACAGUUGCAUUGAACUCGAUGGGAAAAACUACCAAUUAAAGAAAUAAAAAUAAGGGACCAUAAUUUUGGAGCAAAAU